GAUCAUGCUCAGGAUGAACGCUAGCUACAGGCUUAACACAUGCAAGUCGAGGGGCAGCGGGAUUGAAGCUUGCUUCAAUUGCCGGCGACCGGCGCACGGGUGAGUAACGCGUAUCCAACCUUCCGUACACUCAGGGAUAGCCUUUCGAAAGAAAGAUUAAUACCUGAUGGUAUCUUAAGCACACAUGUAAUUAAGAUUAAAGAUUUAUCGGUGUACGAUGGGGAUGCGUUCCAUUAGGUAG
rnacentral:rRNA from 1 species